rnacentral:misc_RNA from 1 species
CAGAGUUGCGAAACUCCCUAAACCAUUGUGAACCUACCCUUAACCGUUGCUUCGGCGGGCGGCUCCCCAAAUCUCUGGGGGCCUUCGCCUCCAAAAGGCGCCCGCCGGAGGUACAUAACCAUUUGAAUUUUGUAUGGCCUCUCUGAAGUCUCUGUACUGAAUAAGUCA